CGGAAGUCACCUCGUGGCGUAGGGGAGAGGUAACACCGAGAAGAGGCAGCGGCGGUGGCGCCAAGACGAUUGGUGCCAAACAGGGCAGAACGCAACUCAGCUCUGGGGUGGGUUCCUGUCCAGAGGGGUAGAGAAGAGUGGCUGAGGGCGCGCCCUGAUCUCAGCGGGAAGAGUGCGACCCCGAGGGCGCGCUAGUUUGUGAAUAGCACAAUGGAAGAAGCUGGACUUUGUGGGUUAAGAGAGAAAGCAGAUAUGUUGUGUAACUCUGAAUCACAUGAUAUUCUUCAACAUCAAGACUCAAAUUGCAGUGCCACAAGUAAUAAACAUUUAUUGGAAGAUGAAGAAGGCCGUGACUUUAUAACAAAGAACAGGAGUUGGGUGAGCCCAGUGCACUGCACACAAGAGUCAAGAAGGGAGCUUCCUGAGCAAGAAGUAGCCCCUCCGUCUGGUCAGCAAGCUUUACAAUGCAACAGGAACAAAGAAAAAGUCUUAGGAAAAGAAGUUUUAUUAUUGAUGCAAGCCCUAAACACUCUUUCGACUCCAGAGGAGAAGCUGGCAGCUCUCUGUAAGAAAUAUGCUGAUCUUCUGGAGGAAAGCAGGAAUGUUCAGAGGCAAAUGAAGAUUCUGCAGAAUAAGCAAGCUCAGAUUGUCAAAGAGAAAGUUCACUUGCAGAGUGAAUACAGCAAGACCAUCUUGGCAAGAAGCAAGCUAGAAUCUCUUUGCAGGGAACUUCAGCAAAAUUAAUGUCAAAAUAAGACAUUAAAGGAGGAACAUAUGCAGCAGAAAAAAGAGGAGGAAGAAGUUCUUAAAGAAGUAACUGCACAUUUCCAAAUUACUUUAACUGAAACUCAAGCCCAGCUGGAACAGCAUGAAAUACACAAUGCCAAACUGCAGCAGGAGAACAUGGAAAUGGGAGAAAAGCUAAAGAAGCUCACUGACCAGUAUGCACUGAGGGAAGAGGUAAACGGCGUUUGGUUUGUUUAUAGACAGCUGCUCACCAGUAGCAAAAGCUACACCCUACCGUAAAGUAAAAACUCUUUCACAGGACAGUAUUUUAGAACUUUUGUGUAUGCACAGUGGAAAUUACAUGUUUAUUAGGAAAAGAGUAGAAACCUGUAAACAGAAUGACUAAAUUGGAGCAUCACUUGGCCCAAGUGUCAGUGGAGUAGGAUAAGUAAAGGGAUUUCUAGGAGAUGUGUACCACUUGUCUCCCAUAUGAUGCUACAAGAUUGUCAAUAUAGCAUACAGAUAUUUUUCUCUUAUGCAGUCUAAUAAUACAGAUUUGUUCCCUAAAUACUCUGUAUCUCAGAUUUCUGUGACAAUCUGAACAAUAUAAAUAGGAGAAUUGUGCUAUUUGUGAGAAUAAGGAACCUACUAAUUACCCAUCACCAAGUCACAUUGUUUGUGUAAUCAAUGAAGUAAAAAGUUUGUGGAGGACUCAAUAGUUGUCGAACCUAGUCAUUGGAGUUAUUUUAUAAAUUGAUGUGGAAGUUGUAUGAUGGCUAAAUAAAAAACAAAUAGGUGAUAACCUGC
ensembl:lncRNA TXLNGY taxilin gamma Y-linked (pseudogene)